rnacentral:rRNA from 1 species
AAUCAACGCUGGCGGCGUGCCUAACACAUGCAAGUCGAACGCGAAAGCCCCGCAAGGGUAAGUAGAGUGGCAAACGGGUGAGUAACACGUGGGUGACCUGCCCUCGAGUGGGGGAUAACGUCCCGAAAGGGACGCUAAUACCGCAUAAUAUGCCGCCUUUGUAAAAGGUAGGACAUCAAAGACUGGGGAGUCGCAAGACCUAGCGCUUGAAGAGGGGCCCGCGCCU